AUACGGAGGAUGCGAGCGUUAUCCGGAUUUAUUGGGUUUAAAGGGAGCGUAGGUGGGAUAUUAAGUAAGCUGUGAAAGUUUGGGGCUCAACCUUAACAUUGCAGUUGAUACUGGUUUCCUUGAGUACGGUACAGGUGCGCGGAAUUCGUGGUGUAGCGGUGAAAUGCUUAGAUAUCACGAAGAACUCCGAUCGCGAAGGCAGCUCACCGGGCCGGAACUGACACUGAUGCUCGAAAGUGCGGGUAUCAAACAGGAUUAGAUACCCUGGUAGUCCGCACAGUAAACGAUGAAUACUCGCUGUUUGCGAUACACGGUAAGCGGCCAAGCGAAAGCGUUAAGUAUUCCACCUGGGGAGUACGCCGGCAACGGUGAAACUCAAAUGAAUUGACGGGG
rnacentral:rRNA from 1 species